rnacentral:lncRNA from 1 species
CCAUUAAACUUUUCCAUAGUAAACAAUUUGAGAGGUAGAAGUCUACUAGGAAUUUAAGUGAGAAGCAGGUGACAGUCCCACUGGUUCAGCUCAGUUUCUCCUCCUAGUGGUCACAAAGGGAAGGUGCCUGCCCUCUGGUGGCAUUUCUUCAAGGAAUCCUGUUACUUAAACACGGAAUAUUCCUAUGAAGAAAUACAUGAUACCAGUGAAAAGUGCUCAAUUUUAAGUCAUAAGUGAAUUUCCAAUUACUUUUGCCUCCCACUUAAAGCAUCUCCUCCUUUUUAAAAGUUGACCAUAAAACAUUUUUACGUUGCAAGGUUGCCGAACACAAUCCAAAUGAAACAGUAACAAUGCAUGUCUAAAGCUUAUCUGGGUGUGCCACAAUCAUUUUUAACACAAAUUCUUUAAAAAGGUGUUAAGUAUCAUGGUGCAUUAAAUCACUGCAUGGAACUUGACAUGUAUUGGCAAA